GAGGUUCGGAUCUACGACGAGGAGAGCUGGAUGGAAAUUCAUCCCCAGAACAAACAUUCGCCUCCUCGCUCUGUGGAGUCUGUUGUGGGAUGGAGUUCCAGCCUCUGGCGCUAAUAUUUUACCAACAAGCGAUGAAGUCAAAGGCAGCAUUAUGAAGACUACCUGAUGUGCUGCUGAAACCAUGACGGGGCGGGAGGUGGAGGAGGCGGGAGGCCAGCCGACCCCGUUCGCCCCCAUCGCCGCUCCCCGCCACAUGUUAUGGAGCAGGAAGAUCAUUGGUGGCGCACCGCCUCCAGCUUCAAUUUCCUGUCAGUGAUCCAUCCCAUCAUUCCUUGUAAAUAACCGCCUACUCCAAAUGUAAUGGCGGUUAAAAACUUUGUGAAACCUUGUUUGCUUUACGACAUUAUUCGGUCCAGUGGAAGUCCGCUGUCAUCGUUAGCUUCAGCCUCCGGAACUACCUGAUCUGGAUUUGUAGUGAAUGAAGGCAAGUUAUCACAAUUUGGGUGGAAAUCUUUUAACACAGCCUCACUUUCAAACACCCUGAACUGUAUAAACCUGUUGAGAAGAUGUGGGGGUAAAGUCAGGAUACGACCCCAGAUCCGGUUCAGACAUGAAGCAGCAGCCAAGUCAUGUCCUAAAACCUUCUAGCAGAGCAGAUGGAAACAUUAGCCUCGGCCCGUCUCACCUCCCGGGCUCCAGCGUGAUUCAUACGACAGCAGAUGAGGGUUACAGUGUUCGCUCUCCCUCUGGCCAGCGGCUCACAUAAAUACACACACACACACACACUCUCUCUCUCUCUCUCUCUCUCUCUCACAGAUAGCGAGGCGGCUGCCAGACGGUGUUGGGCCAAGUUUGGCAUCACACCUGCCUCACCGUCUGAGAGCGCAGCCCCGUAUCUCGUAUCAAGGUCGAGCCCUCGUUCACCCCAUCUACUUUCACUUAUCGCUUAAAUAACCUUUGGGUCAGAGAUAAACACUUAAAAAUACACUUUAAAAAAAAUUCCUCCUUUGAGCUCAUUUGCACAAGCUGAGAAAGUUACGCAAUCUCCUUAAGCAUCUGACGCAACGAGAGGAUUUAUUUAACACCACGCCGCUGCUAGCGGAGCGUGAAGUUUGGAUUCUGCUUUUGUGUCUAGACCGGUCCUGGGUGUGUUUUGCGUGAGUGCUGCACCCUCCGUGUAGCUGUCCUCCUCCCCCACCCCCUCUCCCGCCCCUCAUCACCAACCCACCAGCCACCAUAUUGAAUCGAUUUGAGCCUGAGCCACGACGAUAGAGCGGAGGGAGCCGAGCCGCUGAAGUCGUGUGAAACAAAGACUCUGUGUGCAACCUGCCUCUGGGGCUCCAUCUCUAAAGGCCAUCCUCCAUCCAUGACCUCCUCUCCUGCCUCGCCGCUUCGAGAAGUCCACCCUGGGAUGUGCUUUUCUUCUUCUUCUUCUUCUUCUCUUUUUUUUCUCUUCCCCUCUUCGUACGGCGAGGAACUAAUGAAAUGCACUCGAUACUCAAUAUAAAAUACACGAGUCACAAUUUAAUAAUGAGGUCGGGUUUUUUUCCUUUUGCCUGGAAAUCGAAGAGAAUAAUCCCCGCAGCUUCUUUUUUUUUUUCCUUCUACUUGAACGCCUCUAUGAUGUCAGAGCUGUAGAAACAGAGAAGUGCUAUUGAUUGAAUGUAAGUGGAUAGGACUGAAGCCUGUGUGUGGGCAGGUCCCUCAAAUAAACUAGCGGAGCAGAGAGAGACGGGCGCGGUUUGACACGCUGCUCCCAGAAACGACAUGCCAGCUAAAAAACACCGAGUGCGUUUAUACGAACCGGUUAAUAUAUGCAAAGUAUAACUUCAGUGCCAUCAUCACCUUCCAAGGCCGGUUCACUUCCGAACACAUGGCAAGAGCACCACCUAGUGGUGACCCAUAGAUAUCUUUAAAAUCUUAUAUAUUGGGUAUGAAACGAUCUGAUUUAUCGAGGUGAAAUGAUUAUUCGUCAUAAACGAUUCAUUACUAAUUAGUAAUCGAUUAAUUGCCUAUUUGCUGGAAAAGCAACACUGUUGGAGCAGUAAUUAAGCCAAAGUUGUGCAAAGAAUCUAUCAACUUUGCACUUUAUUUUGACAGCAAAUUAUUUCUACCCAGAAUGCCUCGAGUGUCAUAGUUUUUGCUUCACCUCAGCUCUAUAAAAUUCUCCUAUUAAGCACCUUUUGCUGUCCAUUUAUUAAUCAUUUUUAAUAAUAAUAAAAUCAGCCCUAUGCUGUACUGGUGUUAAGUGAAGCAGAAAGGGUUUAUUUAAAUAUUUAUUAUUAUUUUUAGCUGCAGAUGCAUCCUUUGCUAUAAAUGAUGAAUCACACACUAAAAGAAUGCUUGCUCUGUUAGUGCAUGCUAGGCAAUAAAAAGUUACUUCUUAUUUAGAAAAAAGAGUUGAAUUAUUUAUUUGCAUUUCUUACAUAUUCUUAAUAUUGCAUAAAAUAAGCUAAGUGGUUAAAUUAAGCACAUUGUUGUAAAUAAAAUAACCUCCCAGUGGAACUUGCAUUUUUUAAGGAAUCAUUGAUUUGAAACAAGCUCCUACAUCUUGCUGAAAAUUUACUUGUACAUCAAUGUUGCCUUAUUUUAAGUCCACUAAGGUAUUUGCACUAGAAACUAGACCAAAAGUACUUUUUUUCCUGCAGUGCUCUGUUGGAAAUGUUCUUUAAUUAUAAAAUUUUAGACUCUUUAAUGCUCUGAUUUGAUCAAAUAUGCA